rnacentral:tRNA from 1 species
UUAACUGAAGCCAAAAUUAGAGGCCUCUUAUUGUUAAUAAGAAAAUUGAUAAAUUCACUAUCCAGUUAAA